UUCUCCAAAAGGAGUGACAUAGGAAAUGAAAGAACCUAGUGGGGAAACCCCCACUCAACUCCCUAUUCUGCGUGCACCCAAGAAGCACAAACAGAACA
rnacentral:pre_miRNA from 7 species